GACGAACGCGUGGCGGCGCGCCUAACACAUGCAAGUCGAACGAGCGAGAGAGAGCUUGCUUUCUCGAGCGAGUGGCGAACGGGUGAGUAACGCGUGAGGAACCUGCCUCAAAGAGGGGGACAACAGUUGGAAACGACUGCUAAUACCGCAUAAGCCCACGGGUCGGCAUCGACCAGAGGGAAAAGGAGCAAUCCGCUUUGAGAUGGCCUCGCGUCCGAUUAGCUAGUUGGUGAGGUAAUGGCCCACCAAGGCGACGAUCGGUAGCCGGACUGAGAGGUUGAACGGCCACAUUGGGACUGAGACACGGCCCAGACUCCUACGGGAGGCAGCAGUGGGGAAUAUUGCACAAUGGGGGAAACCCUGAUGCAGCGACGCCGCGUGGAGGAAGAAGGUCUUCGGAUUGUAAACUCCUGUUGUUGGGGAAGAUAAUGACGGUACCCAACAAGGAAGUGACGGCUAACUACGUGCCAGCAGCCGCGGUAAAACGUAGGUCACAAGCGUUGUCCGGAAUUACUGGGUGUAAAGGGAGCGCAGGCGGGAAGACAAGUUGGAAGUGAAUCUAUGGGCUCAACCCAUAAACUGCUUUCAAAACUGUUUUCUUGAGUAGUGCAGAGGUAGGCGGAAUUCCCGGUGUAGCGGUGGAAUGCGUAGAUAUCGGGAGGAACACCAGUGGCGAAGGCGGCCUACUGGGCACCAACUGACGCUGAGGCUCGAAAGUGUGGGUAGCAAACAGGAUUAGAUACCCUGGUAGUCCACACCGUAAACGAUGAUUACUAGGUGUUGGAGGAUUGACCCCUUCAGUGCCGCAGUUAACACAAUAAGUAAUCCACCUGGGGAGUACGACCGCAAGGUUGAAACUCAAAGGAAUUGACGGGGGCCCGCACAAGCAGUGGAGUAUGUGGUUUAAUUCGACGCAACGCGAAGAACCUUACCAAGUCUUGACAUCCCUUGACAGACAUAGAAAUAUGUUUUCUCUUCGGAGCAAGGAGACAGGUGGUGCAUGGUUGUCGUCAGCUCGUGUCGUGAGAUGUUGGGUUAAGUCCCGCAACGAGCGCAACCCUUAUGGUCAGUUACUACGCAAGAGGACUCUGGCCAGACUGCCGUUGACAAAACGGAGGAAGGUGGGGAUGACGUCAAAUCAUCAUGCCCUUUAUGACUUGGGCUACACACGUACUACAAUGGCGUUAAACAAAGAGAAGCAAGACCGCGAGGUGGAGCAAAACUCAGAAACAACGUCCCAGUUCGGACUGCAGGCUGCAACUCGCCUGCACGAAGUCGGAAUUGCUAGUAAUCGUGAAUCAGCAUGCCACGGUGAAUACGUUUCCCGGGCCUU
rnacentral:rRNA from 1 species